rnacentral:lncRNA from 10 species
GGGCCAGCUGCUGUGUUCAGUCCGCCAUUGCAAACACGAAGCUCUUCCAGAAACGCCCUCACAGACACCCCGGAAGUCACGUACCCACUCUGUAGGUGCCCCGGGGCACAGGCAAGCGGACGAGCCAGUUAUCCCUCAGAGCUCCUGCUGCCUCGCCCGCUUUCUCUCGGAAACGUGAAGUGUGGCCUCAGCUGAAAGUGAGGUGGGCCUCAUUCAAUCAGUUGAAUUCUUCAAGAGAGAAAAACUGAAGUCCCUUAGAAGGAAAGAGUUCUGCCUUCAGACUGUCUUUGAACUUAAGACUGUAGCGUCGACUCCUGCCGGAAUUUCCAGCCUGCUGGCCAGCUCUGCAGAUUCACACUUGCCAGCCUCCACAAUCGUGUGAGCCAAUUCCUUAACUUCUCUUUCUCCGUGUAUCCCUUUGGUGCUGCCUCUCUGGGGAGCCCUGACUAAUAUGCAUGCAGAUGAUACGGUGCCUGGCAUUCUGAAUACAUGCACUAAAUCCACCACUUUUCCCCAUUUAUAGAUUUGGAUUAACACACUAACUUACUCAUAUCUGCAAGUAUAAAUAAAAAAAAUUGCUGGUGCCAAUUUCAAAGUUUUGCCAUGAGGUAGCUUGAAGGAAUGACAUUUUAAGGAAUUCGCUCAAGGCCGUAGGACAUGCGAUCAGGUUGUAAUGCCAAGCAACUCUUAUUGGGCCCUCUGCUCUGAUGCCCUUCACAUCUGCCACCUCAAUGGAUUAGAGCUCUCCCUGCAGACACCCCUAGCCCCAGCUCCUGCCUAUCGUUUCUUUAACGUGCUCAUCACGCUCCAACAUGUCAUGUAUUUACUGGCUAAGUUGCCUUUUUUUAUGUGUUUUCCUGGGAUAAAUGUCAGCUCACAGAACCUAGCACCUGGCACAUAGUAGAGGCUUAAUUCCAUAUCUGUUGGAAUUGAUGCAAAUAAAUGAAUUAUUGUCAAGAGGGAGGGAGGGAGAGAGAGAGAGAAAGAGAGAGAGAGCUGUAGCUCAGGGAGUCAAAGUGCAACAGAAUGAGUGAAUGAGUUUGGGGCUCCGUCAGACCAACUUCAAGUUCCACCUCAGUCACUUGCAAGGUCAUUUAGCCUCUCUGCAUCUUGUUCUUCACAUCUAGAGUGAGUAGUAUGACUUGGAGUUCAGUACUCACCUAGAAAAUGAAGAAAAGCACAGACCACAAGCCUGGUGUAUAGUCCACACUCAGUGUGAAGGGCAUGUAUUAUUUUUGUGGGAUCCCAUAGCACUCUGCUGGCACCCCGUUGAAAGUACCUUCCCUACCUUGGAGUCAUUUGUCUUAUAGGCACUUUUGUAUUUUGUUAAUAUUUACAGUUGUAUUAUAAGCCUCUCUUUUUCCCCAUUGAGCCUGCUGUGGUGCACUGCAGGCUGGUGCAUACAGAGUGCUCCGUGGAUGCUUGCUGAGUGCCUGUGUAAGAGGGUGGACCGAUGAUGGGUCUAGUGGGUUGCAUGGCUGGCUUUCUCCAUCCAUUUAUUUAGAUGUGCGUUGCCCUGUGUGGCAAUACUCUGAUGGUAGAUCUUAGGCAAAACUCAAUUUACAGAGGACCCAAGGGUCAAAAUCCAAGUCACAGCUGUACUUUGACACCAGUGAUAAGCGACUUAGAGCAGCAUACUACCCUUUACACAAUUUUCAAAGUCAUCAUUCAGUUUAGUCCCCAUGAGCUAGAUCUGAUCAUUAUUUCUAGGUGGUGAAGCAGUGAUGUACGGCUAUUUGGCAGUGAAUUAGAGUCCCAGGUCAGCUUGAGUGUGGCUGUGAGAGGAGCUGUGGCUCUGGGUGGCAUGUUCCCCUGCACCUUGGACGUCAUGCUCCUGGGGCAGAGGUAUGAAUGAAGGAAGGCGGACUUUCCUCUCUAGCCCAGAGCUAAGGAUGACUGCACUAUAGGGAAACUGUUGGGAGGGUGCUUGGUCUGAAGGUUUGUGUCCCUUGAAAUUCACAUGUUGAAACUAUAACCCCAAAGUGAUCAUAUGGGGUGGUGGUGGGGUUGGGAGGUGAUUAAGUCAUAAGGGUGGAGCCGUCAUGAAUGGGUUUGGCCCCCUUGUAAAAUAGACCCCAGAGAGCUCUCUAGCCCUUUUUCCACUAUGUGGAGACACAGCAAGAAGACAGCCAUCUAUCAGCCAGGAAGUGGGCCCUCUUCAGACACUGAAUCUUCUGGCACAUUAAUCUUAGACUUCCCAGCUUCCACAACUGUCAGAAAUAAAUGGUUGUUGUUUAAGCCACCAGUCUAUGGUAUUUUGUUAUAGCAUCCAGAACUGACUAAGACAGAGAGGAACAUAAAUUGAGCAGGAAAGGGAAUUGCUAUGAACUGACUGUGAGUGUCUCCCCCAAAAUUCAUAUGCUGAAGCUCUAAUUCCCAAGGUGAGAGUAUUUGGAGGAGGGGCCUUUGGGAGGUAAUCAGAUUUAGAUGAGGUCUUGAGGGUAGAGUCCCUAUGAUGGGUCCCCAUAAUGGGAUUAGUUUCCUUAUGAAAGGUGACAAGACCCUUUCUCUCUCCUUCAUGUGAGGACACAGCAGGAAGGCAGCCAUCUGUGAGCCAGAAAGUGAGCCCUCACCUGAUGGCCAAGCCUGCUGAUGCUUUGGUUUUGGACUUUCCAGCCUCCAGAAUGAAACAGCUUGGUGGUGAGUUUCCUGGGUUUUCUUUUGUCUUCAUAG